AAAUUGGCGUUGAAGAGGAGUAGUAAUCUUAUAAGUGGAUGAGAAGAGAGUCAGCGGGUGGUGCAAGCUGAACAUCGACUAAGAUGAACUUGCCUUGGAGCUGGGCAUUGCCCCGUUUUCCGCGUUAAGGAAAAAUAAGUUGAGUGGUAAAACACUAAUGUGGGUGGUACCGCGGGAGAUGUCUCUCGUCCCAUGG
rnacentral:ncRNA from 1 species